UCUAUCAGUGUGAAGAACAGUGCGAUAUUUUGAGGGCAGCGCGUUGAGGGAGAAGGAUGCAACGAACCCAAAGCGGUAUUGUGAACAGAGAAGAGAGCUCAUGGGAAACUGGCUUUGACCAGAAUAAGUUAACCAAGGUGCAUAUUUUUGAAUGCGGCAAUAUUCAAACCGACACUUCGCCUGUCAUUCUUGAAGUUUGCUAGAAGAAGUUUAACCAAUAUUGUGCCAUAAUAACGGAAAAGAUAAAGGACGGAUGGAAGGGGCUAUUUUUGUCCGCUAAGACGCAAAGGGAUAAAAUAAUGGAGACAACUGUGAAAGCCGUAACGCGUUAAGCGUUGCAGUGCUUAUAAGAGCACAGAGGACAGGCAAUUUGCGUCAGUGAAUGCUCCCUUAUACACCAUAGUCCAAUGUUGUAUGAGUGCAGAGGGAAAUUGGAGCGAGCAAGCCAGUGCAUCCGGAUGGCAAGGUGGUCUUUGGCAGUUUGCAAAAUAAUAUAAAAACGCCCGCUAUCCAAAAGUAUCAUUUCAAAGUAUCUUAUCGGUAGGCAUUUACACUGAUAAUCCAGACAAUCGGCGCAUAUUCAUUUGUCCGGAGUGGUGAAAUUUGGAGAGUGGAUGGACAGUGGCCUUAUCAUCAUGAAAUAAUGUCCCGUAUUGCUGGACACGUUUCAACCCAGAAACCUACAUGUGGCUGCUGAUGCACUUUAAACUCAAGACUAGAGAGGUUGACACAUUGUAUCCCCUCACACAUUCCAACUACUGUGAGUGUUGUCUCUUGUUUAUUUAGUUUUUUGACAUUUUUCCUUAUGUGAUAGCCGAAGUCACGUCAUAGCUGUGCACUCUGAGGGGUUUAGUGAACUAUUUUCGCAAUCUUUGUCUGAAUCGAUUCCCCGUCACUUAUUUUUUCGGGUGUAAAAUGGCAGGAGAGAGUAGAGGAGCAGGAAUGGCUUUCGCACUUUCGGACGGCUGUAAUGGUUUGGGAUUUAUUUUGAUCUUUCUUGUGGAUUUACUGGGAAUAACUGCAAGUAACAUGGAACCUAUUUAUUGGAAUACAUUGAACAAGAGGUCCACUGUCACUAAUAUGUGGUGGUGAAGUCCCAAUGGGCAAGGACAUCAAUCAGUGUCUAUUCCAUGUUGGUUCAGCGUAAUUUCAUUGAAAUGACGUGGAAACAACGUUGAUUCAACCAGUGUGUGCCCAGUGGGGUUGUUCUCUGCUCAGCUGACAGACAGGAGAUACAGGAGCCCAUUCUGUUCCAAGUAGCUUAACUUGGCUCUCCUCUACGUACAGCACUCUGGGGACUUCCAGCAGUUGUUCUCAGGAGACAGGUCAGUGUGUGUAGAGAGAACACGUUUGACCAGGUGGAGUCAGGCUUCUACGUCAUCGCCCUGGACCACUACACCUACGAGGCAGAGGAUGUCAAGUUUGGACCAAUUAUGUUGAUGCCCCAAAGUAAGAACCUGGAGGUCUUCACUAGUUCUGAGGGAGGUGAUGUGGCCACAAACAGUGCCUGGGACACCUUCCUGGGCCACUGCUGUCUGGAGAACAACCAGAGGGUGGUCAAGACUUCAUCUUUAAUGUGUCUGCUCUGCUGCACCUGAAAGCUGAGGGGCUGGAGAAAUGUAACCACUCUCAAAUCCAUACGCGAGCCAUGGAUGCAGGGACUGAACAUUGCGCCUCCUUCUAAAACCCCAUUUGAAGAGAGGACCCAAGGGUUCCUCGCCUCAGACCUACAAUGACUCUUCAGAAGGGUAUGGCUCUGGCUUGCUAAUAACAUUUGGUCUGACGAGACUCCUCUUUCCACAUAUGGCUCUAGCUUGCUGAUAACAUCUAAUCUGACGAGACUCCCAAUGCGAUUUGACUCCUGUAUUACUGACUGGAUUCAAUAAAACUUCCAAUGCCAAAUUGAAAUAAUUUCAGAUUCUGUCAUUGAUAGACGAUGGUAGUUCCCAAUCAGAAAAUUACUAUAAAACAAAUCAGUUUUCCUCAGUGCAAUGUUUGGUGAAUGCAUGGCAUUGUUUUGUUCUCAGUCCUGCUGUGUGUACUGAUUCAGUUCUGAACGACCAUCGAGUCCAUCCUCAUCACCUCCAUCGCUGCAAUGGAUUGUCUGGUCUGCUGAGAGGGUCAUUGGCUGCCACCUGCUCUCCAUUGCGGUACUGCAUGACGCCAGGGCAAGAAAGCGUGCAGGAAAGAUCAUCGCUGACCCCUUCCACCCCCUCUGGCAAACGGUUCAGAUCAAUCAUGAUCAAAAUCUCCCGCCACCUGAGCAAUUUCUUCCCCCGCGCUGUGGCCCUCACCAACCGGCCACCUGGUCCAAGAUGAUCCUCUCAUCCACAUGGACUUUGCACUAUUCAUCCACCAACUAUGUACCCUGCACUAUUCAUCCACAGACUAUGCAACCUGCACUAUCAUCCCAGAACUGCACAUCUCUUACAUGCAUAUUUUAUGAUGUAGCUUAUAGUGUUGUCUGUUUUUUUUAGCUUAGUGUUCAUACUGUAUGUGGAUCUGUGGAAAUUCUGUGUAUCUAUUUGAUCUUUAUAUUAUGUUUAUCGUCUGUCUGUAUAUUCUGUUUAUUGUGGUAGCACCAUUUCACAAGUUGGGGAAGCAAAUUUUCACCAUAAAAAUUCACAUUUAUAAUAAAGCAUUCCGUGCAUCUA